rnacentral:tRNA from 1 species
CGCCAUUAGCUCAGUUGGUAGAGCAGCUGACUCUUAAUCAGCGGGUCCCGGGUUCGAGUCCCUGAUGGCG